GUCUACGGCCAUACCACCCUGAACGCGCCCGAUCUCGUCUGAUCUCGGAAGCUAAGCGGGGUCGGGCCUGGUUAGUACUUGGAUGGGAGACCGCCUGGGAAUACCAGGUGCUGUAGGCU
rnacentral:rRNA from 1 species